rnacentral:snRNA from 1 species
AGCUUUGCACAGUGGCAGUAUCAUAACCAAUGAAGUUAAUCUGAGGUGUGAAUUAUUGCUAACUUGAAAAUCUGCUCCUCCUGGUGGUAGAUGGUACAGUACUACUGGAAACAGCAAAACUGUUGCCAUCUCCCCCUCUUUUUGUUACACUCACCAGU